rnacentral:rRNA from 1 species
GAUGGACGCUGGCGGCGUGCCUAAUACAUGCAAGUCGAGCGAACGGACGAGAAGCUUGCUUCUCUGAUGUUAGCGGCGGACGGGUGAGUAACACGUGGAUAACCUACCUAUAAGACUGGGAUAACUUCGGGAAACCGGAGCUAAUACCGGAUAAUAUUUUGAACCGCAUGGUUCAAAAGUGAAAGACGGUCUUGCUGUCACUUAUAGAUGGAUCCGCGCUGCAUUAGCUAGUUGGUAAGGUAACGGCUUACCAAGGCAACGAUGCAUAGCCGACCUGAGAGGGUGAUCGGCCACACUGGAACUGAGACACGGUCCAGACUCCUACGGGAGGCAGCAGUAGGGAAUCUUCCGCAAUGGGCGAAAGCCUGACGGAGCAACGCCGCGUGAGUGAUGAAGGUCUUCGGAUCGUAAAACGCUGUUAUUAGGGAAGAACAUAUGUGUAAGUAACUGUGCACAUCUUGACGGUACCUAAUCAGAAAGCCACGGCUAACUACGU